CAAUAUUUUACACGAUCCUCGAUAAUAAUAUCGACGAAAACAACCAUCUGUAUAAUGUCCGAAGUCACGAUUGACCGGCAUUUGACGUUAGAUCGUCGGAGUUUAUUCCGAAUAGGUUUCAAAGACGUAUCAUUAUUAUUGUGUUGGUUUGAUACACGAUGAAGGCAAACGUACCUGUAAAUACAGUGGUGAUCAAAUGUUUUUGUCACGGGAAGGAUAAAUAUCAUUUUUUAAGACCU